CGCGGGGGUUGCGAGCGUUGUCCGGAAUUACUAGGCGUAAAGGGCAGGCAGGCGGAUCCAUAAGUUUAUCGUUUAAGGCGUCGGCUUAACCGGCGUAGGGCGGUAGAUACUGUGGAUCUGGAAUGCGGUUGGGGAAGACAGAAUUCCUGGUGUAGCGGUGGAAUGCGCAGAGAUCAGGAGGAAUACCGAAGGCGAAGGCAGUCUUCCAAGCCGUUAUUGACGCUCAACUGCGAAGGUGUGGGUAUCAAACAGGAUUAGAUACCCUGGUAGUCCCUGA
rnacentral:rRNA from 1 species